rnacentral:rRNA from 1 species
AGAGUUUGAUCCUGGCUCAGGAUGAACGCUAGCUACAGGCUUAACACAUGACAAGUCGGAGGGGAAACGACAUCGAAAAGCUUGUCUUUUGAGUGGGCGUCGACCGGCUACGGGUGAGUAACGCGUAUCCAACCUGCCCACCACUUGGGGAUAACCUUGCGAAAGUAAGACUAAUACCCAAUGAUAUCUCUAGAAGACAUCUGAAAGAGAUUAAAGAUUUAUCGGUGAUGGAUGGGGAUGCGUCUGAUUAGCUUGUUGGCGGGGUAACGGCCCACCAAGGCAACGAUCAGUAGGGGUUCUGAGAGGAAGGUCCCCCACAUUGGAACUGAGACNCGGUCCAAACUCCUACGGGAGGCAGCA